rnacentral:RNase_P_RNA from 1 species
CGAGCCGUGCGGGCGGCCGCGUCGGGCCCAGCCGGGUCCGCCGAGGAACGUCCGGACUCCGCAGAGCAGGGUGGUAGGUAACGCCUACCUGGGGCGACCCACGGGAAAGUGCCACAGAAAACAGACCGCCGGAGCCGCCACGCGGCGUCCGGUAAGGGUGAAACGGUGGUGUAAGAGACCACCAGCGCCCAGGGUGACCUGGGCGGCUCGGUAAACCCCACCCGGAGCAAGGUCACAAGGGGCCGUCACGCGACGGCCCUGCGCGGACGACCGAGGGCUGCUCGCCCGAGUUCGCGGGUAGACCGCACGAGGCCGGUGGCGACACCGGCCCCAGAUGGAUGGCCGCCUCCCGCCGGCCCGCGAGGACCGGCGGAGACAGAAUCCGGCGUACAGCACGACUCGUCUG